rnacentral:lncRNA from 1 species
CAGGCGGUGCUGCUACAAACUUGUGACUCAGGGAGGUCACGUCAUUUUGUGUCCCACGGGAUUACAGGCAUUGUAAAAGUGAGUGAUUUUCCUCAUAUUCUUCAUGGAAACCAAGCUAGGCUUUCCCUCAGGCCCCCCAAAACGCCCCCUCUCCACCCCUCAGUAAAUGCCACUCAUUACACAAAACACCCUAAUUGCACAACACUCAGCCAGCAGAUAAGGAUCUUGUUUAUUUUCUUGGGUUUCGGUGGGGUUUUGGUUUUGUUGGUGACUGAAACCGUGCAGUCUGAACCGCGGGGAGGCCAGCACCGAGGAGGCCACCCGGAUCCCGCCGGCCCACCGCCCCCAACGCCCGCCAUUUCCCGCCCCGCUCCCUCAGGGCGGGCGCCCCGCCCCCACCCCCCUCUGCGCGCCGCCGCCACCCCGCGGGCACGCGCACGAGCACGCGCCCCCCCCUCCGCUCCCCUCCCCGCGCGCGGGCGCGCGCCAACAGCCCCUCCCCUCCCCACCAUCCCCCCCUGUUGCUAUAGCAACCGAGAGCCGGCUGGCGCCCGGCGGCGGCUGCCCAAUGGGGAGGCGGCUCUCCCCGCAACUCCCGCCCCCCGGCGCCGGAAGGGGCGUGGCCUCGGGGCCGGAAGCGGGCCCGCAGCGCCGCAGGGUGUGUGUGUGUGUGCGUGCGUGCGUGCGCUCCCGCCGCUUCGCCCGCCGGGAUCCAGGCCGCGGUGCCGCCGCCCCCGCCAGGUGAGGCUCCCCGGGCGCCCCCCGCUCCGUCCCCCGCAGCGCCCCUCGGGGCGAGCAACGCCGCUGCGGGCCCGCGGGAGGCCGGGGCCGGGCGGGAGAGGCCGCUGCAGGCCGCGGCGGGAGGGCCCCGGGGGGUGCGGGGCGGCUCCGGGCCGCUUUUUGUGCGGCCCCCCUCCCCCCCCCCUCCAUCGGGCCGUGCCCCGCAGCGGUGGGGGGGGGCGUGUAACGGUGUGCCCCUGCCGCUGCGGGGCCCGGGCGGGGCGGCCGCCGCCGCCUCCUCCUCCCCAGCGGCCGGCACGGCCCGGCCCGGCCCCGCCCGCCUGA